GCAGCGCAAGACUCUGCAGGUCAGUUUCCCGUUUUCCCAUCUCAAUUUAUCUGCUUCUUCUUGGUCCUGGAAAAGAUUGGAUUUGCUCGCUUGAUUGGGUUUGCUCGCUUGAUGAGGCGGACGUGGCCGGGCCGCCGGGAACCAGCGCCGGUCGUGAGAAUUUCUGGCUAACAACAAUGUCACGAAAAUCGCCGUAUCGCGGUAUCCGUAUCCGUAUCCGUAUCGCCGUAUCCGGACAACAUAGACCACCACAACCCCUCCCCCGCCAAUUGCCUCCUCCAUAUCGUUCUCAUGGGACGCUGGCUCUUCUGGCUCAGUGGGAUGCAACGCUGGUGGUGGCGGGCCGAGAGAAUGGGAAAAGAUGGCCGCCCCUCUUUCGAGCUCACAAGAGAUGCUUCGUCUUCGGUUGUGGUGAAGGAUGCCGCAACGUCUGAAGGGUCUCGUCUUUCUCUAUUGCCGUAUUGGAUCUGCAUGUGCACGGUUGAUCUGUUCCUUAUCUCCCUUCGUCUCCUUUUGAUUUGUGUGUGUAGUCCAUUUUGAUUUCUGAUGGCUUGAUAUGCAAUAUGAUUUGUUGCCCAGGUCGGGAAGUUUUUCCAUGUGGUAGUUCUGCACUUGCCGCUUAGUGCAAUAAGAAAGGUUCAGAAAUAAAUUGUCUGGCAUUAAACGGGUUGGAAUAUGGCAGUUCUUUGUACGCGGAAGCAUGAUUUGAUUUUCCCAAUACCAAAACCUGGAGAUGCACACUCUGUAGGUGUUGUGUAGCAGUUUGCACUUACCGCUCAGUGCAAGUUCGAGGUGAAAAUGCUCAUCUCUACUUGAUCCAAUAUGAGGCCCAUGCUCAUAGUUUAGUUGACAUAUUUGUUUUAGCUUAUCAGUUUAAUUUUCCCUUAGGAAUGAUAAAAUGGCUAUUUGGAUUAGGACAAAUUUAUCCUAGAUGUAUUACAGUGACCAAAUAGUAUCGGCAUCAUAAUUUCUUCAUCAAAAUAUUUGAAAGAAAUCUGUUGACAUCGACACUGAAACUUCUGCUACUACGGUUGGUACCCAAGUCUACAUCAGAAUAUUUGAAAGACAACUAUUGUAAGUGAUGUCCGUUCUUCCAGUUUUCACUUUUUAAUAGGUAUUAUAUACGUAACUGUUAAUUUUCUUUAGUAUGCCAACAAGUUGAAACUAGCGUUUGAACUAGCUCAGUAACUAAUGCAACAAAUCUAUGGAGUUUUCUGGUUGAUAGUAUCGUAUCUGUCCAUAAUAGCAGGAAAAGGAAAGAAAAUGUUACAUGCGUUUUUGUUCUAGACAUUUAUAUAUUUCUGUAUUCUAAAAUGGCUACUAAGAAGGGCUUCUUCAAGUUGAUCCAUAGAAAUCCGGAAGAAAAUUUAAAUAUGGUGCAACUUGCAAGUCACAUGUUUUAAUAGAAGCAUGUUAUUUAAGCAUAGACACUUUUGAUCUGAUCUUGGGUCAUUGUUAUGAUCAACACUAUGUACAUGAUGAGUUGAUUAAAUAGACAAGUACACACUAUUGAUGUUUUUUUUGACAUUGCUUAUUCCGUGCUGCAGAAGGGCACUGCCGCACCAGCGAAGGAAAGCAGGGGCCGAAUGAACUCAUGGACCACGUGGUGCUCUUCUGUGUGGUAAUGAUUUGACGCAUCAUUAACAGCCUUUGCAAUUGCAGAGACAUCUUCAAGACCAAUGAUUAAAAAUAGCCAUGCAACACCAUCUACCCAAGUUUUCUUGUCACUGAGCAACUCAGUUGCACCAUAUUUUGAAGGCCGAGAGCUCCGCUGAAUUUCAGAACCAUCAGGAAUGAAGGGAGGUUCAUUGCUAUGAUUUUGCUCUAUUGUUAUUUAAAAUGUUAUCUGUUAUUUUUCAAGUAAAUAAUUAGUAUCUGAUAUGCUAAUUAGUAUCUGAUAUGCUAUUACUGCUGAGAAUAUUCAAGGAAAUACCUUUUUUAGCAUCUUUCUCUAGGAUAAUUAGUAUUACAUGGCAUAGGUCAUAAAAGGAAAUGACAUAAGUUAUUUUUCUUUCUUGGGUCAAUUUUUAACUGACUAAGCUAUUCUAUGUUGUUAUUUUCUUACACAUAAGUCUCACGUCUGUCAUGAAAAACACUAACUUUUCGUGAUAGUAAAAAUGAGAUUGCAGGCUUGAAUUUUGCUGGUACCACGAUAUUAUGUGAUUUGUAUGACCUUCUUGUAUGUUUUGUAGAGUCGUAUGAUUUAGAAUGUUAGUACAUUUUUAAUUGGGGAGUGCUUUUCAAUACUGAUUUUCCAAAGUAUAUACCAUAGAACCUACAAUAUUGGCAGUUAGUAUACAUUCAGAAAGUAUCAUCACAUAGGUUUAUACACUUCCUUUUCCAGAGCUAUGGAAUUUUAAUUGGUUACCUAGACUAAAGGUCUACUGUACAAAUUUAGCAGUAAAGUAUGCUUUCAGAAAUUAGCAUCAGAUAGUAGUGUAAAUAAGUGAUUAAUUUAUAGAAUAAAUUCUGGGUAUGUCAAAAUGCAAGUUCUACGAGGAAAGGGAUAAUUACAUGAUGUCAUCUGAAUGUUCAGUACCUCAUUUUACAAGUUCAGUCUUGGAAAUUUAUACACUUAUCUAAUAUUUUGGGACUACCUUCUACAACAUAAACCACAGAUUUUGCUUAUUUUGGUAGGUAUCUUAUCCACAAAAGAAAAGUAUAGACCUACCUUAUGAAAUUUAGAGCAGAUUCAUACUAUGUGCAGUUUGAUUUACCUACCUAAGGUUAUAGAACAGAUUCAUUACUCUUUUGCUUUCUCCAGGCAGUGAAUCAGUUGCGGCGUCAUUUCAAAUCAUAUCGGAAUGUGACAAAAAUACCUGAGUUUUGAUCACAAUGGUGAACCUUUUAUUUUCCUUCAAA